rnacentral:rRNA from 1 species
UACGGGGGGGGCAAGCGUUGUUCGGAAUUACUGGGCGUAAAGGGCUCGUAGGUGGCCAACUAAGUCAGAUGUGAAAUCCCUCAGCUUAACUGGGGAACUGCGUCUGAUACUGGAUGGCUUGAGUUUGGGAGAGGGAUGCGGAAUUCCAGGUGUAGCGGUGAAAUGCGUAGAUAUCUGGAGGAACACCGGUGGCGAAGGCGGCAUCCUGGACCAACACUGACACUGAGGAGCGAAAGCCAGGGGAGCAAACGGG